rnacentral:pre_miRNA from 1 species
GAGCUGUUGGAUUCGGGGCCGUAACACUGUCUGAGAGGUUUACAUUUCUCACAGUGAACCGGUCUCUUUUUCAGCAGCUUC